rnacentral:rRNA from 1 species
AUUGAACGCUGGCGGCAUGCCUUACACAUGCAAGUCGAACGGUAACAGGUCUUCGGAUGCUGACAAGUGGCGAACGGGUGAGUAAUGCAUCGGAACGUGCCCAGUAGUGGGGGAUAGCCCGGCGAAAGCCGGACUAAUACCGCAUACGACCUAAGGGUGAAAGGGGGGGAUCGCAAGACCUCUCGCUAUUGGAGCGGCCGAUGUCAGAUUAGCUAGUUGGUGGGGUAAAGGCCUACCAAGGCAACGAUCUGUAGUUGGUCUGAGAGGACGACCAGCCACACUGGGACUGAGACACGGCCCAGACUCCUACGGGAGGCAGCAGUGGGGAAUUUUGGACAAUGGGCGCAAGCCUGAUCCAGCAAUGCCGCGUGCAGGAAGAAGGCCUUCGGGUUGUAAACUGCUUUUGUCAGGGAAGAAAUCUUCUGGGUUAAUACCUCGGGAGGAUGACGGUACCUGAAGAAUAAGCACCGGCUAACUACGUGCCAGCCGCCGCGGUAAAAC